rnacentral:rRNA from 1 species
CGGACGGGUGAGUAACGCGUGGGUAACCUGCCUCAUACAGGGGGAUAACAGUUAGAAAUGGCUGCUAAUACCGCAUAAGACCACAGCACCGCAUGGUGCAGGGGUAAAAACUCCGGUGGUAUGAGAUGGACCCGCGUCUGAUUAGCUGGUUGGUGGGGUAACGGCCUACCAAGGCGACGAUCAGUAGCCGACCUGAGAGGGUGACCGGCCACAUUGGGACUGAGACACGGUCCAA